rnacentral:lncRNA from 1 species
AGAAUUCCUCUCUCUUCUCUUUUAAAACAAAGCAGGCCCACAAGUCUAUACCAAACUAGCCCACAAGCCCAAACUAAACUAGCCCACGAGCCCAAACUAAACUAGCCCAAACCCAAAAGGCAGAUGGCCCACUACGACAGGCCCACGUGGAUAGAAACCCUACCCGGUUCGCGACCCGUACCCGACCCGGUUUUGGGCUGAAACCUAGGGUUUGCUGGCGGCGCUGACAACGGCGGCGGCGGGCUUGACGGCAGCGGCGGUGCGGCGGAGCAGAUGCGGAGACGCGGCGGCGCGGCGAAGCAGAGGCGGAGACGCGGCGGAGCAGAGGCGAAGACGCGGCGGCCGGCCUGGGAUCUGCUGGCGUCGGGGGCAGCGGCGUCGAGCUACAAGCAGAGCACGGCGGGUUGUCGCAGGCGGAGGAGCGGCAUCGGACGAGUAGAUCACGAGCAGAGCAAGGGCAGCAGCAACUUUGCAGGGAUCUCGCGGUUUGCAAGUGAGGCGGAGCGCGACGGCGGAUGGCCUGGUGGUGCAGCGGAGUUCGAUCAACUCCCAGAUCUAGUUCGUCUCCGGUUGGUUCGGCGUCGGGAACGCUGUGGGUGGUGAACGACGGCAGCAGCAGCAGGGAGGCGUUGUUCGAUGAGGGUCAGUAAGCAGCUCGUCGGGACGGAGGGCGGCGACGGCUCGAGCGGCGUUGAGCGCAGCAGGUGGCGGCGGCUACGCGGCGGACAGCAACGACGACAUCGGGGUCUGCGAGGAUGGGCGGCGGCUGCGUCGGAGGCGAGCGGAAGCAUCAGGUCGUCGCGGGCGGAGUCAGGCAGCGCUCGGGCGCGGUGGCUCUGAGUUUGUCCUCCCUCUCCCUUUGGUCUCGGUUAGCUCGGCGUCGGGAGCAACGGAGAAGGGUGCUGCGGCUACUGGCGUCGGCAGAAGCGGCGUCGAGCUCGGAGGGCGGCGGCGAGGACGGCGUCGGUUUGAGGUGGCGAGGACUGCGACGGCGGCGUCGGUUUGAGGCGGCGAGGACUGCGACGGCGGCGUCGGUUUGAGGCGUCGAGGAUUGCGAUGGCGGCGUCGUAGCUUCGGGCUGCAGGAAGCAGCGUUCGGAGGGCAGCAGCGUAGACGGCGUCGAGCAACGCCAGCGCCGCCGCUGCCCUCCUCCCCCUCCUUUCCCUCUUUCUCUUCUCUGGUUUUCUUCGUUUCUCCUCCCCGCCCCCUCUCUCUCCUUGCUGCCUCCUCCGAACCCCCUCUCCUCUGCUAGGGUUUCACGCACGAAGAGGAAGAGAGAAAGCGGCAUGGGCCGGGCCAAGGCGAGAUUCGGCCCGGCCCCUUCCAUGUCUCUUUUUUUCUAUUUUUUUGUUGUUUUUGUUUUCUUUUUUAUCUUUUGUUUGCUUUGUUGUUCUUUUUUUUUUGUUCUUUUUUUUUAUCAUUUUUCUUAAACGACUAAUUCCUAAUUCUGUAGACAAUUAAAUCCUAAAUGAAAAAAUGGGAAAAAUUAGGUGUCAACACAAUGUCUAAUGAAAUCAUCCUUACAAACCGAAGCAUAGUCCUUCACUUGAGGAAGCAGAAGAAAAAACAAGGGCUUGAAAAUAGCCAUGAUUCUUUAUAUAAGGUACACUAAGGGCCUAUUUUCACGGUGUUAAUUGCUGGGAGCACAUCAGCAUGGUGAACAAAAACCUCACGGGAGAAUUUCACUUUCUUCUUUUAGAAAAUUUUGGGCAUUAUUUUUCUGUUUUUAUGUGCCACCAUGUAUCAUUAAAAGGUUUGUAUUGAGAGAAUCCAUCGGCCUUCUCUAUCUUCAACAUGUAUUGUACUUCUUGCUUAUCCAAAACUAAAUAUCCUUGAAUUUUAUAAUUUUGCCCUUGAUAUUUUGAAUCCAAUUGACUUAUUUAGUCCAUUUAUUUAAUUAACUGGAAUUUCAUGAUAAAUUAUAUGAGUGACCUAUGGCCCAAGUCUUAUAAUAAGAUAAGCCUCAUCAUGUUCUUUACAAGUAGGGACCUAUUUCAAUUAUCGCCACCUUGGAUUACACUUGAAUAAUCAUUGUAUGAUUUAACCCAAAUGAAUUAGAUUGAUUGUUACAACUGGUAUCAGAGCUCAUAGUGGCAAAGUUCCUAAUAGCCCGAGCUAUGGCAGCCCAUCCCAAAUGGCCACCAUCUUAAUUGAUUUCAAGUACUCCUAUAAAAAGUUUAGUUUGAUAUAUUAGGUUGGCUUGAUGUAGUGAGAGACUAUGGAGGGGAUACAUUUUGUCAUGAUAUAAAUUGCCAUCUUCUCAUGCAAACGUGACUCGAGCAUUAAGAAAAAAUCAACAGUAGAAAUAUGAAGUAAAAUGGAGAGAGGAGAAACAAAAAGAGGAGAUGACACUUUGGACUUCGCAGGGAAAAGGAAGGAGAGAGAAAAAUAUAGGGCCAUGAUGGGGGCGUUUUUGUAAUUUGCUCAAAGGUCAUCGUUCGGAAUAUCGGAUUGCUACAACUAUGCAUUUCGAAUCAGUCACCCUAAUUCUUGCACACGUUUCUUUGAACACUCGUUGUUUAGUUUAAAUUAGUUCUCUACUGUAUCCAUAGUUAAUUUUUUUUAUCCUAGCACUAUAUUUCCUAAUCCGUAAUUGCAACAGUCCCCCUCUCCCCCCUCCCCCCCAAAAAAAAUUCUCCACACAAAAAAAAAAAAAGUUGCAACACAAAACCAAUUUAUUUGAGGCAACUUCUUCUCCAGAACGUUAAUCUCACCAAGAAUCAACAAUUUGAAAAAUACAAAUACUUGUUGAAGAUGAAAUAUUUUUCUUUGACUAAUUUUUCAAAAAGAUAAAUAAUUAUUUUUAGAUAUAUAUUUAUUAAAUAUUUUUUUUCCACAAAACAAAUGCAUAAAAAAAUUGUGUAUCCACUGCCGCUCAAUAAAGUUGGGUUGUGUAAAUUAUACAAAUUGGGGAAUAAAACCAUGAACGAAUGUAGCAAAAAUAUCAAAUCAGAUGAAACAAGAACAGAACUGGAAGCUAAAAAAAAAAGAAGCUGAACAGAUAAAACAGCUUCUGAUGUUCGGCACGAAAAUCUCAACCUCCAAAGUCAAGAAGAGCGACUUAAAAAAUAUACAACCCCAAUUGCAUAAGCAACUCAAUCUGGAAUCGGUCAGUUUUCUAUAUUUGCAGAGAUCGCCCAAUCGACUUGAUUGUUGAUCGUAAAACAAUUGUGAAAGUGGCGAAACGAACAGUUCAAACCCGAGUUCGUCCUCUCACAUCUGUUAGAGGACAUUGUAACUUGAUGGUUUAUAUGUAAUGGGCUCAAAGCCCGUCCGCCCAAGUUGGGCCCAAAAAGCCCAGCCCACGGGAAUAGGGCCCGUGGAUGGGGGAAGGUAUAAAAGGGAGGAGAGAGAGAGAUGACACCGGUUGGAAAAAGAAAAUAAACGUACGUCUUUUUCUUCUCACGCUCUCUCUCUCUCGCUUUCUCUCCCAAAAGGAAAUAGUGAAGCGCAAUUAUUGAACAGGGCCAAGUUUCUCUUCCUCUUACCAGUGUCGGUGUCUAAUCUGUGGCUUAAAAGGUACGCUCGAAUCCAUGGUGUGCUUUAGGUCGGUGAUACGUGUUGUUUUCCCGGGCUCGUCUUCCGCAUUGAUUUAGGGGUUCGAUUUAGUGUCGAAUCUGGUUUUCGGGGAUCCGUUAUUCCCAACAUUGGUAUCAGAGCCCUAGUUCACGUUUUCCCGACUUGUUUGACGUUUUUUGAUUGAUUUUUCGCAAAAGCAAUUCGGCCGUACGGAUCGGGGUGAGAAAUCCCGACACCCGAGCGCUGUUCGGCCAUUUUUCCGAGUUUUCGUAAGUCGAAAUCGAAUUCUAAUGGCAUAGGAAGAAAGGCGACGUCGAGACGAGUCUGGCGAUACGUCGAGCGGCGCCGGGAGACGCCGCACGCGCCCACACGUGCGGCUGGAAGCCGCUCCGCGUGGGCGCGACGCGCCCGGAAGCGCUGGCUCGCCCAGCGCGUGCGACACACGCGCCGGUCGACGAACCGGCACGUGCUCGCUGCCGGCCGGCGAACCGGCACGCGCCGAUCCGCGGACCGACGCGUGCUGACGUCACCCAACGGUCAGUAACCGCUAGGGUGACGUCAUCGAUGACGUCAGCACGACGACGGUUCGCAGGGCGGUCACCGGCCGGCGACCCGACCGGCGACCCAACCCGACCUGAACCGCGGACGUCGGCACGCGAGCGGCAUGUGCCAGCUGACGUCUACGUGACGUCAGCCCGCGCACGCGUGCGGCAUGUGCCGUCGAUUUGCCCGAACCGGCCCGACCGGUCCGACCGGCCCAACCGGUCUGACCGGCCCGACCGGUCUGGCCCAACCGGUCCGACGGCCGACGACCUGACCAUUGACCGUUGACCGUUGACCGUUGACCCAAAAAAAAACAAAAAGGAAAAGAAUGUGUUUCUUUUUCAAUUAAGUCUAUGUGGAUUAUUUGUGAUCCCUUAUUUGUUCUGCAUUUGUUGCAGGAACAGUUCUGCAUUUGUUGCACGAACAAUGUCUCCCUUGAGGUUGCGCACACCUAUUCGCGCAGUUACUGAUGAACAAAAGGACAGGCUGUCUAAGUUGAUAGCUGAGCUGACUGAUCAUCGAUAGGAGAGUGGAGAGUUAAUUGAUCAUGUCCUUGAGGUCAAUGGGAAGAUUCAACAGGUCAAAUGGAAUGGUCGUUCUAUGCCACAGUCAGAGAUGGUGCGAUUUUUCAUAAACACUCUUCCACUUAAAUGGCAAGAUGUGUUGAAUCGCAUAUGGGAUGUCAAUGGAGCUGCUUCAUAUAAGAAAGUUGUGAUGGAUUUUGUAAAUGAAUAUUACUGCAUUGUUACAAGGGAAAAGAUCAAGAAAUUGAACAAAAGAGGAUCUUUCCCAGUUCGUGUGCUGGCUUAGUGUUAGAUGUAUUGGCUGUUUUCUUAGUUAAGUGUGCUUUUGUGGACAUCUUAUGUAAUGCUUACUACCUAAUUGUUGUUAAUGUAGCAACCUAUAUGUUAGUUGUAUUAUAUGAAAGCAUUAUUAUAUUGUAUGUCAAUGUAUCUAUUACUUUAUGUUAUUGCCGGUUGCUGUGGGUAGUUAGCUGUGGGUAGUUAUAGAAGUUUUUGUAACUUCAUAGAAUUUAUUUUGCAUAAGACAAUUAUAUUGAUGAUAGUUUUAAGUUAGGAUUUUGGAGGAUGAUUGGAAACAUAGUGACCUUUUGAUUCUGAAGCCUUACUUGAAAUUAUUCAUUAAUAUGAUGGGUCUAUGCAAAUAGGGAUGCAUAAAUGAUAGGCAUUAAUAAUUCGUGCAUAUAAUUCGUGCAAAUGGGUCUAUGAUGGGUCUGAUGUGUUCAGAUCAAUGGCUUCAGCCACGAAGAGCAUAGUUGCCGAGCUGAACAAAUGUGAAAAGCUCAAUGGUGACAACUAUGAGAUAUGGCACAUGAAAAUCUAAUAUGUGCUGGAAGAGCAAGAGGCACUUGAGGCUCUUAACCUGACCAUGGUAGAACUUGAAGAAGGAAAUACUGCACAGCACAAAAGAGAUAAUGAAGCUUUUGUUGCAUGGAAACGAAAGAACUCUCUUGCUCGCAUCACAUUGCUGAGCAGCAUGGAAAAUGACGUCAUGCGAGAGUUUAGGCGUUUUGACAAUGCCAAGGAAAUGUGGGAGGCAUUGGCAGCUAGAUUUGGUCAUACUUCGGUGACCAGACUGAGACAGCUCACUAUUAGGUUUGACUCCUAUAAGAAGCCUCAUGGUCAGAUCAUGAAGCAACAUCUUAGAAAGAUGUCAAAUAUGAUAAAUGAGCUGAAAGAUGCUGGCCAUGUCCUCACAGAUGAGCAGCAGGUGCAAGCAGUGAUUCGUUCAUUGCCUCAGAGUUGGGAGCAUAUGAAGGUGCACCUGACUCAUAAUGAAAAUAUCAAAACUUUCGAGGAUGCAAUGCGUCAUCUUGAGCUGGAAGAGGACCGCCUCUUGGCGGCUAAGCCGGAUGCUAAACUCUAUCAUGCUAGUUCUAGCUCAAAUGGAGCUUCGAGCUCCAAGCGCAAGCGCCCUAACUGGUUUGAUAAAGGGAAAGGCAAGGAAGAAGGUCCUUCAGGGAAGAAACCCAAGUUUAACCAACAUGAAAGAGGAAAGCGUCCUCGCAUGAAGAAGCUUGCAAGGGUGAAAUGCUACAACUAUGACAAGAAGGGUCACUAUGCUCGCGACUGUCGUGAGCCAAAAAAGGUAUGCACCCCUUGUACUUUUCAGAACUUUGCUUAUGUGUCGAGUUAUGUGUUCUUAACUGAGUCAAAUCCUUUGUGGACUGUGGAUUCAGGAGCGACGGACCAUGUAGCGAAGGAUAGAGGAUCCUUCGUGGAAUUCCGACGAGUACCAACNNNNNNNNNNNNNNNNNNNNNNNNNNNNNNNNNNNNNNNNNNNNNNNNNNNNNNNNNNNNNNNNNNNNNNNNNNNNNNNNNNNNNNNNNNNNNNNNNNNNAAUUGGCACAUGCCAACUGAAGAUGCGUGGUGAACGCACUUUGUUCCUACAUGAUGUGUUAUAUGCUCCGGAGAUUCGUCGGAAUUUAGUGUCUGUAUUAGUGUUGGUUAAAUUAGGUUUUAAUAUGAACUUCUAUAAUAGAGGCGUUGAUUUAUUUUUUAAUACAAAUUACUAUGGUCGUGGUUAUUUUCUGGAUGGUUUCAUUGUAUUAGAUAUUGAUUAUGUUAAUAUAAAUGUUUGUUAUUCCCUUCUCACGUCUCCUAAUACAUAUAAUAAUGAUGUGAAUGUGUGGCAUGCUAGACUUGGUCACAUUGGCCAACAGCGUAUGAAUAGACUAGCCAAAGAGGGCUUGUUAGGCAACAUUGAAAAAGUCGAUUUGCCCAUAAGUAAGCAUUGCCUAGAAGGGAAAACGACAAGGAAACCAUUUGUUAAAGGUAAAAGAGCUGAAUUUCCUCUGCAUUUAAUCCAUUCUGAUGUCUGUGGUCCAAUGAAUGUGAAAGGAAUGCAUGGGGCUGUUUAUUUCAUCACCUUUAUAGAUGAUUAUACUCGAUUCGAAUAUAUCUAUUUGAUUUCUCAUAAAUCUGAAGCAAUAAGUUGUUUCAAAAGGUUUAUGAACCUAGUAGAGAAUCAAUUAGACAAGAAAAUAAAGGCGUUUGAGAUCCGAUCGAGGUCGAGAAUAUUUUAUCUGAUGAGUUCAGAAAAUUGUGUGAUGAAAAAGGAAUAGACAGACAGUUGUCUAUUCCAUAUACUCCUCAACAAAAUGGUGUUGUAGAGAGAAAAAACAGAACCCUACUGGAAAUGGUUAGGUCCNNNNNNNNNNNNNNNNNNNNNNNNNNNNNNNNNNNNNNNNNNNNNNNNNNNNNNNNNNNNNNNNNNNNNNNNNNNNNNNNNNNNNNNNNNNNNNNNNNNNNNNNNNNNNNNNNNNNNNNNNNNNNNNNNNNNNNNNNNNNNNNNNNNNNNNNNNNNNNNNNNNNNNNNNNNNNNNNNNNNNNNNNNNNNNNNNNNNNNNNNNNNNNNNNNNNNNNNNNNNNNNNNNNNNNNNNNNNGUACUUAGAACACUUGAAAGGAUAUGUGUUCAUAGGUGAGCAGGAAAGUGGGAGUAUAACUGAGUUGAAUCACGAGAUAUCACAUUCUUAGAGGAUGAAUUUCCUAAGAAGGGCGAAAUAGGGGAAGAUUGUUCCCUAUUUGAGACCUUGGAUCAGGAUAAUGAUGUUAGUGGAGUUCGUCCAAGUGGGAGUAAUAUGAGAAGUGAUGAAUUGAAUUCAACUCAUUCUCAAUUGCAACCGCAUGAUGAGACGACAUCAUCAUUACCUAAUCCAAGUGGGAGCAUGAUGGGGAAUGAUGUGCAAAGUGUACAAUCUCCCAUAUGGCGAACAAGUCGCCAAAGUAUUCCCCAUCGACGUUUUGACAUAGAAGGGGAAAAUUUUAUGGUUGCUCCACAAGAUGAGGAUGAGCCAAGAAAUAUUAAUGAGGCUCUGAAUUGCCCUAAGGAAAAAUGGAUUAAUGCAAUGGAAGAGGAAAUGGAGUCAAUGAAAUGAAACCAAGUCUAGGAACUGGUUGAUCUUCCAAAAGGACACAAAGCUAUUGGGAACAAGUGGGUUCUCAAAAUAAAGUGAAAGGCUGAUGGCUCGAUUGAAAGGCAUAAGGCUCGCCUUGUGGCGAAGGGGUAUAAUCAACAGGAAGGAAUUGAUUAUGAAGAUACAUUUUCUCCUGUAGUGAGAUUUACCUCGAUUCGCAUUAUUCUGGCAAUAGUGGCUAGUCUGGAUCUUGAGUUACAUCAAAUGGAUGUAAAGACUGCUUUCCUCAAUGGAGAAUUAGAGGAAGAAAUAUAUAUGGAACAACCUGCUUGUUUCAUAGUGAAAGGCCAAGAAGAAAAAGUAUGUCGACUUUUGAGGUCGAUAUAUGCUCUUAAGCAGUCAUCAAGACAAUGGUAUAUACGUUUUCAUAAUGCCAUAAUGGCAUAUGAUUUUACGAUGAUUGAUGAGGAUUAUUGUGUAUAUAUCAAAAGAUCCAAUGAUCAAUUUGUGAUCAUAUCAUUAUAUGUUGAUGAUAUACUAAUUGCCGGAAGCAAUAUGGAGUUUGUUAAGACUGUCAAGAGUUGGUUGUCUUCCAACUUUGAGAUGAAGGACAUGGGUGAGGCUGCAUACAUUCUUGGAGUUAAGAUUUCAAGAGAUCGUUUGAAGAGAUCAUUGUCUCUUUCACAAGAAACCUAUAUAAAUAAGGUUCUUGAACGAUUUCGUAUGCAAGAUUGUAAACCCAUAGACACUCCUAUUGCAAAAGUGAAGGAUUGAGCCAUAGACUGUGUCCAAAGACUCCACAAGAGAAUGAACAAAUGAAACAUGUUCCUUAUGCUAGUGCUGUUGGGGAGCUUGAUGUACGUUAUGAUGUGUACAGACCCGACAUAUGUUUUGCAGUUGGANNNNNNNNNNNNNNNNNNNNNNNNNNNNNNNNNNNNNNNNNNNNNNNNNNNNNNNNNNNNNNNNNNNNNNNNNNNNNNNNNNNNNNNNNNNNNNNNNNNNNNNNNNNNAAUGAUCUGCGACUUGGGGCUAUUUAGAUGCUGAUUGGGGAGGAGAUUUAGAUGAAAGAAAAUCUACCUCAGGAUUUGUUUUCUUACUGAGCAAUGGCGCCAUAUCAUGGAGUAGUAAGAAGCAAACGUGCAUAGCCUUAUCCACGAUGGAAGCUGAGUUCGUGGCAUUAUCAGCAGCAGUACAAGAAGCAGUUUGGCUUAAGAGAUUCUUGGAUCAUUUAGGUGUUAUUGAGAAAGCUGCAAAUCAAUUAUUAAUUAACUGUGAUAGCCAAGUAGCUAUAGCAUACACCAAAGAUCCAAAGUAUCAUGGCAAGACCAAACAUAUAGAUACAAAGUAUAACUUUGUAAAAGAUAUGGUUGCACGAAAGGAUGUGAACUUACAGUACAUAUCUACGCAUAGAAUGGUAGCAGAUCCUAUGACAAAGCCAAUACCUAGAGAUGUGUUUUGUGGUCAUGUAAAAUCUCUAGGAUUGUGUAGAGUCUGAUGUACUGGAUUGUAAUUUCCCUGAGUUGUUCACAUUUAUGAACUAGUGUUGUUUCAUUAUUAAUGCCUAUGAAUCUUUGUUUGAUCUUUAUGCAUCUUAAUACUCAGUGUAUUAUUUUAAGUUGAGGAAGUAUGUCGGACAGAUAAAAAAUUAGCCCACUCACACGGGUAAUCGCCUCUAUUUACUGUGUGAUAAAUAGAGAUGAGACUGUUUUUAAGAUUAUUAUCUAGGUGAUAAUCGAUAGCUCAAGCUUAAAAUACGUAUGUUGCCUUAACUAAGUGUUAAGAUGAUGACAUAAUACUUACUAUGUCCGAAAGUAAAAUACCCCACAUAUUUUACUUUAUCUGUCUAAGAUGCCAGAUGUGAGUUCUGAUGAAUUUUGUAAAAGAGUAGAUACGUGAACUCAAGUUAGACAUUGGGUAUGUCUGAACUAUCAUCUGUAUGGUAUUGAAAGGUGUAGACAUACGCUCCAUGGGAAAUAAGUUAAUAUCGUAAUACGUAUUUCAUACUACGUAUGCAUAAGCCGACCAAUAAGAGUGGCAAAAAGUUUGAUCUCAACUUUUAUGAUGUGUGAGACUCUUGAGGAAAAGAGUUCCUCAAUUUUAGUGCCCUCAUGACUUUUACUUAUUCUCAAGGUUUCUAUUUAGUCUUAGGAUGUUGCCAAUGGUCGCCAAUGGUCAUGAGUUGAUUCGAUCUAAUGAAACAUUUCUAGAAAAGCAAGCUGAACUGAAAUUGAGAGUUUGGAGGAAAGAGGAAGAUCGAUUUUGGGGAAUCACAUUGUAGUUCUGUAUUCACUGGUUGACUAAUUAUGACUGUCUUUGUGAUAAUUAUAAUUGUAAAUACAAUAUAUAUAUCAUGUUUAAAAGAGAUCAAGAGAGAUAUAAAAUGUGAUCGAUCGAUCUAGGGUACUGCAUACUAAAUCUACUCAGAGUGUGACGCCCAUUAUGAGCUGCUAUAUAUUCCUAACAGAUGUAUAGCAACGAGCUCUCAAAGUAUGCUGGUCGCACGAAUUAUUCACCGGUAUGAAUGUUGAAGAGAGGUAAAGAGAAUCCUGUUCAGCCCACCAUGUGCGAGUGGGAGAUGAUGGUUUAUAUGUAAUGGGCUCAAGGCCCGUCUGCCCAAGUUGGGCCCAAAAAGCCCUGCCCACGGGAAUAGGGCCCGUGGAUGGGGGAAGGUAUAAAAGGGAGGAGAGAGAGAGAUGACACUGGUUGGAAAAGAAAAUAAACGUACGUCUUUUUCUUCUCAUGCUCUCUCUCUCUCUCUCUCGCUUUCUCUCCCAAAAGGAAACAGUGAAGCGCAAAAGGCGAAAUUGCUUCAUCGGAUCGAACAGGGCCAAGUUUCUCUUCCUCUUACUGGCGUCGGUGUCUAAUCUGUGGCUUAAAAGGUACGCUCGAAUACGUGGUGUGCUUUAGGAUCGGUGAUAUGUGUUGUUUUCCCGGGCUCGUCUUCCGCAUUGAUUUAGGGGUUCAAUUUAGUGUCGAAUCCGGUUUUCGGGGAUCCGUUAUUCCCAACGUAACUUUAAUUGUGAUUGAACCCAAGUGUGCACCUGGUAAAAGGGCGUUGUUCUGUGUAUGCACCCUCCUUGGUCUCUUCUGCAUCUUUCCCAGUCUCUUAGCACCCAUCAACAAUGCCAGAUCCUCUUCGAUUUCUUCCUUCGACAGUGCCACCGGAAGCUUCCUUAUCCUCUCUGGAAUCCUCUUCUUGCUCUUCGUUUCUUCGGCUGUGCCUCUCUCAUGAAUGCGAUGCCAUGACCGUGCGUCCUUUCCGGGUCUGAAAUCCCACGGCUCCUUUUCCUUCUCCUCGUCUUUUGUUGACACCCAAAUUUCAAUUAAGUUAUUCAUUAGGCCCUGUUUUCUUUUGUUUCUCCUUUUUUCAUAUAAUAAAUAAUAAAUAAAAGCAAACAAAAAAAACAAAAACAAAACAAAAGCAGAAAGAAAGCAAGAAAGCCCUCGCAUGGGCCCGCGAGGCCCAUUUCCGCUUCAGCCCAGCCCAGCCGGGUCUUCUUCUUCCUUGCGCAGUUGCAGUGCACGCGCAGAGGGCGCGACGCUAGAGCGGAGGGGAGGAGCAGCAGUGACACACGUGGAGCAGGGGGCGGCUGGUGUCGGAUAAGAACGUGGGAGGGCCAGCUGGCGUCGGAUAGGACGCCGGUUCGGCCGGCGGAGGCCGCUUGGCGCACGAGGACCGGCGGUCGAAGCUCCAUCGACUGGCUGCUCCCUCGCCUAUAAAUAGGCCCCCGUUUCCGUUGUCGAAGGGGCACGCCAGAAGAUUGCAAGCUUGGAAACUUCUUCCUGAGAGACUUCGGAGGAGGUUGAAGAGCGAGCGAGAGGAAGGCGAGCGAGAGAGAACUCGGGUCGCGAGUUCGGCUGACCUCACAAUGAGAGACUUCGGGGGAGGCUGCCGGUGAGCGAGUCCGAGGUGGUCAGAUCCGGCCGGUGGAGGCUCGGAUCUGGCCGAGGGGGAGAGAUCCGGAGUGGAAGAAGCCGAGGCCGUAGAAGGUCGAAGCUGGAGAGAGGAGGUUCCGGAGGACUAGAUCUGGGGAGCCGAAGCCUCGCCUUCGCCGAUGCUGCUGCUCCGCCACCGUUCCAACGCCGUUGCCACGACCGAUUCGCCCAAGCCGCACCAGAUCCGGAGGUGAGGAGCUGCUGUCGCUACCCCACCGUCGUAACCUGCACCUACAGCCCCUUGUCGCCGCCAUCGUUCACCGCCUUAUCGCGCCGUUGUUGCAAACAGGUAACAGUAGACGCCGCCACCGCCCCCAGACGCAUUGUCGCCGUUGCUCGAAACCCUGGCCGCCUCCCCUGUCUGUCGUCGUCAUCACCAUUGUCCCCUCCGCGAAACCCUAACCCCUGACCAAGGAGACCUGAUACAUCACCGUCGAAUGCCGCACCGCCGUCCGCCACGUCGCCGCCAUCGUCAGGCGUCGCGCCGCUGUCCGGUGACAUCCCCAGUCCCUCCACCCGCGCCGCAGACGGAUGGAGAAGCCAGCGACCUUGCGUUGGGUUGAGCAGGGUCGGGCACGGUUCGCGAAACCGGGUAGGGUUUCGCGAACCAGAGGCGGCCAAUCGUCGGGUCAGGCGUGGGUCUUGACCGGGUAGGGGUCCGGUCAGUCUGGGCCAAGCGGGUUUGGAUGCAGGUGGGCCGGUCUCACGCAGAUAGGAACUCCUUUUGUUCCUUGGGCUUCGAUUAAAAAUUUUGGGCUGGGUUAUGUUGUGCUAGAUUUUUAGCCGGGCCCGCGUUGCGGGCCCGUCCGGGUUUCGAAUAGACGACCCGGGUCGGUCCCAACCUGGGAACCCGAUCCGGGUCGUUUUUUAAAUAUAUUAAUAUAAUAAUAAAAAUUAAUAUUUUUAAAAAUAAUAAUAAAAAUUAAUUUAUUUUCGAAAAAUAUCAAAAAAAUAAAAAAUAAUUCAUAUUUUCCAAAAAAUGCCAAAAAUCCAAAAAAAGCCAAAAAUUCAUGAAAAAACCAAAAAAAUUCAGAAAAAGCAAAAAAAAACUUGUAUUUUUCCAAAAAAAAAUCCAAAAAAUCCCUUUUAUGUCCAAAAAAAUUAGAAAAAAACUCAAAAAAUAUUUUUCCUGCCAAAAAUGCAUGGAAAAUCUCUCGAACAUCCAAAAAACCUCAAGGUUUAAACAAGAUUAGGUACCAAAAGGGCAUGAGUGAUUAACUAGUGUAAUCAAGUCCCCGAUCCUAAUUUCUCUGGUUGCGCAGGAGUGAGUAUUUCUCCCGAUACUUCACUUGGGUUUCUAAUCAAUCCACCCCAAAUCGAUUAGUGGCGACUCCGUUUUAAAAUUAAUUUACAAGUUAAAAAUUUAGAUUAUUAAAGUCGUGAAUUGGUGGACUUGGGAGAGUCUGGGCAUAACAAAUUUCAGCCGAGCCAUUAGCCUCCUUAGGUGCCCGUACCCGAUCGCGGGCGCCGAAAAAAAGAGGUCGCGACAGCUUGGCGACUCCGCUGGGGAUCAUUUUUGAGGAGUUAGGUCAUUUUAUCUUUGUUUAAAUGUUUUGCUGACUUGGGUUUUUUUCUUUUGUGCAGGGUAAUAGCUUAAAGUUUUUUUAUUCUGUUAAAAUAAAAUGUUUUGUGGUUAUAAACUGCUGUGCAUCCUUAAAUGUUUUAGCACUACACAUGGCACACACAACCCGGCCGCCGGACCUGGGCCGCCAUAGGAUUUUUAGAAUGGUGUUAAGAAAGAUAUGACCUCGAACGCGAGACUGCGAUGUAGAGGUUGCCUUUCUUUUCCCCGAAUUUCUUAGCCGAGGUUAGGAGGAUAUGCUGCUAACGCGAGACUGCGACGGGCGGAUAUCCUUUUAAUCUCACCAAACCUUCUUAGUUAGAAAUCGAGCCGCACAUAUCAUGCGUAUGUCUAUGUGAUUGUCAUCAAUUUCCUCGCGUGAUGUAAGUUUUUUUCGUGUACUUUGCAAUUUACUUACCUUCCUACAUAUAUUGAGUGGUCCAUGAUUAGUCUAGGAUUUAAUACCACGGUCAAUUAAAUUUGGAAGUAAUUGUCAUAAAGUUAAAAAAAAAAAAUUUGCAAAAGAAAUUACUUUCAGUUAAUAUUUUAUUCUCAAGCAUGUUAAAAAGUUCUUUUUCGCAAGAAUUUUCAUUUGCCUCAAAAAGGGAUAGAAAUCUUUUUCAAAAUUUGUUGCAAUUCAUGCUUUCUUCACCUUUCAAAUUAAAUAUCUUUUUAGUCCAUGCUAACAUCUCACAUGCCCUUUUUCAAUCCAUGCUUAAGAAAUUGUCUACCUUUUCAUGAAUAAACGAAAUGAGUAGGGUUAGGUCGUCAUCAUGGACUGACUCCCUAUUUACGCCUUGUAUUCACACACACUUUUUUAUUCAUGACAAGGUAAUCACGGAACAUCAACGUUCGCCGAUCCAGACUCAUUCAAAAGCAAGAGCAAGAAUGGCCGAAGAAAAUGUACCAAGCCGUAUUGCGGUCAUGGAAAGUGAAAUGAAGCAAGUCUUCAAUGUGCUUCAACAACUUUCAAAGCAGAUAGACUCCUUCCAGGGCAAACUUACACCUGCCCCAGCCUCAGUCGAGGUAUUGUUGCCACCAUCAUCUACCAGGGGUGAUCAAGGUGGAGAUACCGACGAUAACAUGCCCGAAUUGGAGGAUGAUCCGCACCCAACCAUGAUUAAGAAAGCUAGGCCAGAUAGUUUGUCUUAAACUGAGCAUGACAAACGCCUUGAAAAGCUUGAGGAGAAGCUGAAACAACUGCAAGGCCUCCAAGAUCCUACUUUGACGGAUCUCUCCAUUUAUUCCAAUGUCAAAAUGCUGGAAAAAUUCAAAAUGCCUGAAUUUGAGAAGUACGAUGGCACAACUUGCCCUAGGGCUCAUUUGCAAAUGUACUUGGUUUGAAUGACCCAAUACGUUAAUAAUGCACCAUUAAUGAUCCAGUUGUUCCAAUCAAGUCUAAUAGGCCCUGCCCUAAGGUGGUACAUUACCAAGAACAUGAAUCUCCUCGAAACAUGGAGCGAAGUGAGUGAAGCAUUCCUCAAGCAGUAUAAGUUCAUAAUGGACAUUACCCCUUCUCGUGAGGAUCUCGAGCGUACUGAAAAGAAAAAGCAUGAAUCGUUCAAAGAAUAUACUAUCCGAUGGAGGAAUCUGGCCGCCCAAAUCAGUCCUGAACCAACAGAUUUCGAGCUGAGAAAGAUGUUUAUCAAAACCCUCCCUUACGAGUACUGCAAUCGAAUGGUAACUACGAUCGCUAAAUCAUUUAAUCAACUCAUUCCAGUAGGGGAGCAAAUCGAGAUAGGGUUGAGGGAUGGUUGGUUCACUGAACCUGCAUCCACGGGCAAGUUCAGCAUGAAGAAAGAUAAAGAACCCCUGGUAGAUGUCAAUGCAACCUACAAUCAUUCUCCAACAAUUCAGACAAGUGCAAGACAGCAACGGACCACCAGCCGUCAGCCAUCUCAGCGUUACAACAACAAGAGACAAUUUACUCCUCUUCCUGGAUCUCCGUCACAGGUACUGGCAGUCCUCCAGAAAAAGAACCUCCUUUCAAUUGAGCCAAAAUGACCCAACGCUGAAAGUUUUUCCAACUAUGACCUGUAAAAAAUAUGUGACUAUCACAUGGAAGAAGUGGGGCAUUCAACUGACGAGUGCUUCGCCCUCAAGAGUCGAAUCCAGAACCUGUUAGACACUAAAGCUUUCUCAUUCCAAGACAAUCCGCUCCCUGAUCACACCGACAAAGUAAACGCGGUAUUCAGUUUUGAAGAUAGUUAGAGCAGAAAUGUCGAAGCACAUACCGCUGACAUCUAUCAAGGAUUGGUGAAGGCCGGGUAUUAUUCAUGCAAUGAAGUGCCACCCUUAGCAACAGAGAAAGAAGGGCCAGAUGACAUGACCACCAUGUUUGGAGACUUUUUCAUGAACACCAUCAAUGAAGGACCGUAAGGGGAAAUGGGUGCAGGCCCGCUCGAGUAGAACCCCUUUUAAUUUUCUUUUGUAUUCCCCUACGUGGGAACUUGUACAUCUUUCUUAAGUCUGGCUUGUUUUUAUUUUCAACAUCAGUUUCGCUCGAGGAACUAACUUUUGAAAACACUUUUCCAAAAUGUAAAUCCACUUAUUAAAUAAAGUUGAAAAUAUUUUGAGAGCAUGAGGCAGUAUCCCAAACCAGCCCGGUGAUGCUAUCCAACCAUGAAAAAAAAUAUAUCAUCCAAGGAGAAUACUGAGGGCUGGGCUUCCUCAUGCUUUUUCUCCCCCGAAUACAUAUUUUAGAAACAAAAAACACUUCAUCACAAAAAUCUUUCAAAAAAAGAUGAUAAAUUUAAUCAUGUUUGUCUUUCUGACUCACUCACUUCAUGUCUCAGAAGAUCAUUCCCGUCCCCUUUGACUUAGUGUGACAGGGGGCAUUUGAAGCAAGCACAUUAUGUGAACUCACCGAAUUCAAUGACACCCUCCCAAGAAAGCUGGGGCAAACAAAAAGGAUCAUCACGUUUCAAAAUGGUAAGUCCUAUUCCCUGAACAUAAUGUCAAAAAUGACAUCCUCUCUCUUCCAUCUACAGGAAACGAAGGAUGGGAUGUAAUAGGCACAUGCAUAUUAUCAAACUUGAAGCAUGCAUAGCAUGAUAGCUCAAGGCAGGAUGUACCGAGUUCAUUGACAGGACUUCCAGCUUCAACGAGCCAAGAAGCACAAAGAAGGAUUUGCUUCUCUUCCUUUAAAGUGAUUACUGUCAACAGGGUGAAAAUCUAGACAGUCAAAGCGAUCUAUAGCCCCACACCCUUGACAAUGAUGUUGGAAUCUAGAAACUUCACUCCAGACGCGGAGUAAUUGCCAUCAGAAAGCUUGAGACUUUUGAUCUCAGAUUCCAUAGAAGCUUGAGGUACAUGACUUUUGCCCAAUGAUGCUAUAGUUAAAGACAGAAGGAGAAAUUCCACAGAAGGAAGGCGUUGAAGAUGAAUCAACGACUAGCAAUCAUGCAUACAUGGUCACAAGUGAGGAAGGCCAAUUGAAGGAAAUGUCAAACUAUGCCAAGAUAAAGAAGCCAUCAUCGACAUUCAAAUAUCUCUAGGAGCUAACACAUAUAAGCCUUGGAGAAGAGUAAUUUGGUAUCGUUUCCAAUACUCCUCACUCUUUGAAUUCACUUUUGACGUAUUUUCCCUAUUGACAGGAAACAUUGGGAAUCAAAAACCAAACUUGAUGGUCAAUAUUGGCCAAGUGAGGUUCAUGAGAAUGACCCACAUCAAAUUCACCUGGCUUCGUGUAAAAAGACAUGUCAUCCAGGAGCAAAUUCAGAGAAUAAUUGACCUAAUGAAACAAGGGACAUAGGACUUCGUGUCCCCCUCUCACUUUAGGUUCAUCCAAUCAUCUGCAAAACCAGUGAAUGGUAAAGUUGUAUCGCUUCCAGUUAUUCGACUCUUGAAAGAGUUCAUGACUAACACAUUCCCUCUUGUUUGUUGCAGGAUCACCUGACUGUCAAAAGCAAGGAUAACGAAUCAAUGAGAAGCAUGUCUUGUUUGUUGUAGGAUUACUUGACUGUCAAAAACAAAGAUAACAAAUCAAUGAGAGGCACGAAACUCUCCCAAGCAAAAUGGCGUCUCAAAUAUUGCCAAAGAAAAUGACAGAAAAUCUUCAGGCCUUAACUCACAUUUGAUUUUGGCCAGACUAAUUGAUCUACUUGUACAUCUUCUCUUCUGCAGGGGCAAAAGCAAAGAUGUCCAAUCAGAUUCCCAACCCCGACUGAUCAUUCAUGUGUCAUAUCCCUAAUCAAUAGGGACAACUAUCGACACCCAUUUGUGAAUAACCCUUUUGAUGUUCAAAAUUUAACAUAUUUGGAAACACCAUUAUGUUAACUCCUAAAGUUGUCAAUAGGGUCUCUUUUUUGAGUAAAAAUCAUUCAUUCGUUUUGAGAAUACAAACCCCAUCAUAUUUAAAAUGCUGCAUGCCUUUUCCAAAUGGAUUUCGUAUGAUGAUUUUGUCUGUCUAAAUCACUGAUUCCAUUAAGGAUUAUUAGAAUAGAUAGCUAAAUGAAGAAUACAAGAUUAAUCGAGCAUGCUAGAUGAGGCACGUCAGAAUGAUGAAAGGCAAGCCAUAUCCUACACACAAUCCCCCCCUCUAUACACUUGUGAGAUGAGUGCAGAAGAUUCCAUGGCUGCAGGGUAAAGAGUUCUUUCGCGAAUGGUACGAUAACCAAAAUAGUGAGAGGCAUUUCAUCGCUCACCUCCAUUGAGCCCCAUACACUGGUGAGAUUUAUGUCCUACCCCCAUCAAGAACAACCCCUACACCGGGGCAGAUUAGAAGCAAAGCAGCAUCACAAGGUGAGAAGAGAGAUAGAAAUUUUCUUGCUUGCACUUGCAUCUAUCUUCGGGUGUCUUUAUUGCAUAUGAACACUUGCGUUAAUUUAAGUGCCCUAGAAUGACGAAGAGCAAUUCUUUCUCUAUGCACUUGUAUUCAUUGUACAACCCAAUUGAGUCUGUAAUUUCACCCUCACAUGGAGGCAAAACAGAAGUUACUACCAUUUAAACAGCAUAGCUCGGAGCGUUAGCUGAAGAUGAAGACUCAAUAGUCUAACAACAGUGUCGUGAUUGAACUUGCCUAGGCUAGUUCCUCUAACGACAAAGAAUGAAAAAACAGGGGCAUAAAAAAGCAGUGUACCUGGUAAGAGCAAGGUCAAUGCCCAUAAAAGAAGAACUAGAAUAAAAAUAGGGGCAUGAAAAAAGCAGUGUGCCUGGUAAAAGCAAGGCUAAUGCCCCCCAGUCAAAAAUGCAGCCAAGAAAAUGUUGUUGUUGUGGUCCAUAGAACCUCCAUUUGACAGUGAGAAGAAAGACUGGUGACAAAUGCCAAGGCAAUCACCAGCUCUACCUUUUUACACAUGAAUCAAGCCUACGUUGCAUCCCAUUGUAAAAGUCUCUUCAGACUAGGGGCACUUCAAUUAACGUAGGAUUUCAUAUGUCUAUAAGCAUCGCUCGGAGAAGUACGAGCAAGAUUACUCUAUCUCUUUUCACACGGUUCUUGACUUGUAAACUCGGAGAUGAUCGUGCAACAUUUUCGUCCAUCAGCUUCAACCUUGAUGGUCCCCUUCGAUGAGCCACUGACUAAGACUUCAUCACAGUUUCAACAAAGACCUCUCACAUUGGUAAAGUCAUACCGUUUGCGAGAAUACUCAGACCCCUGCUGACAUGAUGACAGUGAGAUAGUGUGGUCCUUAUGAAUCCUACAUCAAUGGUCAGGAUAGCCUUUUCCAUGAGAGUAAGCGGAAAGUCCUUUCAAACUGAAAGUCCCUCAUCUGGCAUGCUCAAGACAUCUACAUUCUAAAUGAAGGUUGUCUUUCAAAUUUUCCCCAGUGGAAUUCGGAUGAUGCCAAAACUGACAAAAUUGUCAUGCAUGGAUCCCAUUUAAACUCAUGAAUUUACAGCAUAUACAAUCAUGUGUGCAUAUUGUACAAAUAACAGACAUACUCUCAGAGAUUAGAGGUAUUGCUAGGUAAGCAUAUCCCUAUCCCCAUUUGUCUUAAAGUACCUACCACUGUCCAGGUACUCUCUUCUUGACACUCGACUUAUUCGAAUCGUCCCUUGAGUUUGGAUGCUUGUGACUGUCCAAGUAUCCUCUUGUCUUCGAGUAUUGGUCAUUGUUCGGAUACCCCCUUUUCAUGACACUCAACCUACCCGAGUUGUCCCUAAAUGAUAUAGUAGCUGUUUAAGCACUCCACUGCGUUGUGCACCUGCGGUUACCCAGGUAUGCUCUCUUAUCAUCAUGAUACUUGGACCUGCCUGAGUGGCCCCAGAUCAUAUCAUUAAAUACUUGUGUUCAUCCAAGUAUUCCAGUACUUUGUACACCUGUGGCUAUCCAGGUGUUCCACCUCUUUUAAGUUCUUGCGGCCAUUCAGGUAAGCCUUAUGCUACAUUCAAGUUUAUGUUACCAGGAGGUGAGAAAUCUUCAUGAAUAUGCGGGGCACGUCCUCGAUAUUCCCAUUACCAGGAGGUGAGAGACCUUCACGAAUAUCUCAGGUACGCCCUCGAUAUUCCCAAUUACCUGGAGGUGAGAGACCUUCAUGAAUAUCCCAGGUACGUCCUCGAUAUUCCCCUUUACCAGGAGGUGAGAGACCUUCACGAAUAUGCGAGGCACGUCCUCGAUGUUCUCAAUUACCAGGAGGUGAGAGACCUUCAUGAAUAUCCAAGGUACGUCCUCGAUAUUCCCAACUACCAGGAGUGGAGAGACCUUCAUGGAAUAUGCGAGGCACGUCCUCAAUAUUCCCAAUUACUAGGAGGUGAGAGACCUUCAUGAAUAUCCAAGGUACGUCCUCGAUAUUCCCAACUACCAGGAGGUGAGAGACCUUCGUGAAUAUGCGAGGCAUGUCCUCGAUAUUCCCAAUUACCAGGAGGUGAGAGACCUUCAUGAAUAUUCAAGGUACGUCCUCGAUAUUCCCAACUACUAGGAGGUGAGAGACCUUCAUGAAUAUGCGAGGUAUGUACUUGAUAUUCCCAAUUACCAGGAGGUGAGAGACCUUCAUGAAUAUCCAAGGUACGUCCUCGAUAUUCCCACUACCAGGAAGUGAGAAACCUUCACGUAUAUGCAAGACCCAUCCUGGAUAUUUCCACACGAAUAUCUCAGGUAUGCCUUGAUUCUUCCUUCAGAGUUUGUACCUGUGAUCGUCCAGGUACCCCUUCGAUACUUGUGAUCAUCCAGGUACCCCCAAAGAGUUUGUACCUGUGAUCAUCCAGGUACCCCUUCGAUACUUGUGAUCAUCUAGGUAUCUCCAAUGAGUUUGUACCUGUGAUCGUCCAGGUACCCUUUCGAUACUUGUGAUCAUCCAAGUAUCCCCCAAGAGUUUAUACUUGUGACCAUCCAAGUACUAUCUCCCAACAAACACAUGCCCUGAAAAAAGUCGGCGCAUCUCCCGUCAAGGCGACCAAAGAAAGGUUUGGGUCCUGGAAAAGCAACUCCCCGUCAAGUCGACCGAAGAAAGGUUCGGGUCCUAGACAAACCAACUUAUUGCUCUAACAGGCGACCGAAGAAAGGUUCAGGUCCUGGAAAAGCAAUUCCCAGUCAAGGCGACCGGAGAAAGGUUCGGGUCCUAGACAAACAACUUAUUGCUCUAACAGGCGACCGAAGAAAGGUUCGGGUCCUGGAAAAGCAAUUCCCCGUCAAGGCGACCGAAGAAAGGUUCGGGUCUUGAAAAAACAAUUCCCCGUCAAGGCGACCGAAGAAAGGUUCGGGUCCUAGACAAACCAACUUAUUGCUCUAACAGGCGACGAAGAAAGGUUCGGGUCCUAGACAAACCAACUUAUUGCUCUAACAGGCAACCGAAGAAAGGUUCGGGUCCUGGGAAGGCAAUUCCCCGUCAAGGCGACUGAAGAAAGGUUCGGGUCCUAGACAAAUCACUUAUUGCUCCAAUAGGCGACCGAAGAAUGGUUCGGGUCCUGAAGAAGCAAUCUCCUCAUGCAACAGGUAAGAUGACGCCUUGAUACUUGCCAAAACUCGGGGUUCACACCCUAUCUCACUCACUCCCGGUAAGUAACUAUAGGUAUCUUCUUAUCUGUCUUAGUAUAUGCAAUGUUAAAUUGCUCUUUUUAUGUAUAGGACAAUAGGUCCCAAAUAAAGUAUAAUCUAUUGCAUAUGUGUAGACAAAAUUUAGGUACCAGGUUUGUCUUUGAAUGCAACCUCUGCGAACUCACCUUCAAAGAGGGGCAGCUGUUGACACCUAAAUUUCAAUUAAGUUAUUAAUUAGGCCUUGUUUUCUUUUAUUUCUCCUUUUUUUUCAUAUAAUAAAUAAUAAAUAAAAGCAAACAAAAAAAAAACAAAACAAAAGUAGAAAGAAAGCAGGAAAGCCCUCGCAUGGGCCCGCGAGGCCCAUUUCCGUGUCAGCCCAACCCAGCCGGGUCUUCUUCUUCCUCGCGCAGUUGCAGCGCACGCGCAGAGGGCGCGACGCCGGAGCGGAGGGGAGGAGCAGCAAUGACGCACGUGGAGCAGGGGGCGGCUAGCGUCGGAUAAGAACGUGGGAGGGGCAACUGGCGUUGGAUGGGACGCCGGUUCGGCCAGCGGAGGCCGCUUGGCGCACGGGGACCGGCGGUCGAAGCUCCGUCGACCGGCUACUCCCUCGCCUAUAAAUAGGCCCCCGUUUCCGUUGUCGAAGGGGCACGCCAGAAGAUCGCAAGCUUGGAAACUUCUUCCUGAGAGACUUCGGAGGAGGUUGAAGAGCGAGCGAGAGGAAGGCGAGCGAGAGAGAACUCGGGUCGCGAGUUUGGCUGACCUCCCACUGAGAGACUUCGGGGGAGGCUGCCGGCGAGCAAGUCCGAGGUGGUCAGAUCCGGCCGGUGGAGGCUCGGAUCUGGCCGAGGGGGAGAGAUCCGGAGUGGAAGAAGCCGAGGCCGUAUAAGGUCGAAGCCGGAGAGAGGAGGUUCUGGAGGACCAGAUCUGGGGAGCCGAAGCCUCGCCUUCGCCGACGCUGCUGCUCUGCCACCGUUCCAACGCCGUUGCCGCGACCGAUUCGCCCAAGCCGCACCAGAUCUGGAGCUGAGGAGCUGCUGUCGCUACCUCGCCGUCGUCACCUGCUCCUACAGCCCCCUGUCGCCGCCACCGUUCACCGCCUUAUCGCGCCGUUGCUGCAAACAGGUAACAGUAGACGCCGCCACCGCCCCCAGACGCAUCGUCGCCGUUGCUCGAAACCCUGGCCGCCUCCCCUGUCUGUCGUCGUCAUCGCCAUUGUCCCCUCCGCGAAACCCUAACCCCUGACCAAGGAGACCUGAUACGUCGCCGUCGAAUGCCGCACCGCCGUCCGCCACGUCGCCGCCAUCGUCAGGCGUCGCGCCGCUGUCCAGUGACAUCCCAAGUCCCUCCACCCGCGCCGCAGACGAAUGGAGAAGCCAGCGACCUCGCGUCGGGUCGAGCAGGGUCGGGCGCGGUUCGCGAAACCGGGUAGGGUUUCGCGAACCAGAGGCGGCCAGUCGUUGGGUCGGGCGUGGGUCUUGACCGGGUAGGGUUCCGGUCAGUCUGGGCCAAGCGGGUUUGGACGCAGGUGGGCCGGGCUCACGCGGAUAGGAACUCCUUUUGUUCCUUGGGCUUCGAUUAAAAAUUUUGGGCUGGGUUGUGUUGGGCUAGAUUUUUAGUGGGCUAAAAUCGGUUAGGUUUUUUAAAAAAAAGGAAAAAUCCCGGGCCGGGCCCGCAACGCUGUGACAUUACCAUUACUUUAUACGAUCCAAGGAUUUCGGAUCGAAGUGGAUCUAGAGCUUUUUACUUCCAAGUGAACCGACGAAUAAAUAAGUGGAACUGCUGUGACAUUACCAUUACUUUAUACGAUGACACUUGAUUGAAGCAAAAUUAACGAAUAGCAAGGCAUUGUGGGUAAGAAGGACACCGACCAAAGACAAGCUGUCACAUUUUAUGAGGCUAAACGAUCGCAUCAUCAGGUGUAGCCAUGUCCGUCGCAAAUUGUUCAUCCAAAGAGCGUACUACCGAGCCGUAUAGCAAGUUGUUCGUAUAGCCGGGAAUAAAAACCAUAACUUUCAUCAUAAAAGCUUACAUGCUCUUCAAAGAACAUAAAGCAAUCACGUGAUGGAACCAUAACACUUUUUCCAAUUUUGCGUCCUUCAAUUUUUGCGAUGUACCUAAAGUUGCAUCGUUACUGCGCGUCGCUCGCUAGUGUCUCGGUCCUCAAAGUUAUGCGUCCGUUCUUUAGGGUGGUCCCCCGGGGGUCAAAAGUCCUCAUUUGACUAUUUAUAAUUUGUGCUUCUAAGUAGACCCCAUAAUUGCGUUUAAACUCCCCCCCAAUUAAAUCGUCACACUGCACUUUGAGCAAUCUCCCUUUUUUUCUCAAUUCUCAAUGUUUUCAUCCGCCAUCAUAUUUCAAAAAAGUUCGGCCACAAGGGAAUUUUUCAGAACCUUCUUGGAAGUAUUUUGUAGGGCCGAGAACUCUUAAUCAUAUCGAAAGCAUUAAAAGAAGAGAAGUUGAUACUUCUUUUUUGGUAGGUAGAAGAAAAAAAAUUGGAGACAGGUAUGCUAACGAGAGAUCGCAGGCAAGAUCUUUUUCUUAGCACCAGGGGUCAUGAGCAAGACAAAUAUAGUUUUCCAUUCUGAGUAAAACCUUCAUGUGUAGAGAUUUUUUGAUUGCACGAAAUUAUAUAGAAAUAAUGAUUAGAAAAUAUCAAAGACAUACGCGAAUCUUCCCGUCUAUGUCAAAAACCUACCUCUACUUUUAAACGUACGAGUUUUCCACUUUGUCUUGGCGAAAUUGCACCCCUUUAUAAGUUUUUUUUUUUUUUCCAUUAAACUAAAAAUUGAUGGACCAUAUCUAGGUACCAACUAAAAGUUGAUUUUUUUUAUGAGAAAACAAAACAUUUGGACUAAAUUGGGAUCCGACCUAAUUUUUUUUUUUAUAAGACAAAAAAUGUUCGUGUCAAAAUUUAGACCCAACAUAAAGUUGAUGCUUUUUCAUGAGGCAAAAAAAAAAAAAAAGACCAGAAUUGGGACUUGAGAUUUUUUUUUUUGGUCAUAUGAUUGGGACUCGAGAUAAAGUUGGUGUUUUUAAAGGGAAUUAUGCCCAAGUUAAAAAAUCCAUAGUCUUUUCCAUGCUAUCAAUAAUUGCAAUGUUUAUUUUCCAACUUUCUUGCUAACUAUUUUUAGAUCAGAUGGAUGUCUCGUGUCUAAUUGAUUAUUACUUGUUUUAAAUAUUUUCCUUUUUCUAAACUUUGUGUUUACGCAUUUGAUUUUAUUUCAAAUAUGAAAUACCCAAAAUUUUCACAACUUACAGAUCUCAAUUCAGAGUCCCUAUGAUUUUUCCAAGAUUCCUUAAACUUUUGACAGUAUUUUUCCAUAGUUGACGGAAAAGUCAGAGAGUAUUCUUUCAUGCACUUACAAAUUCUACAAGAAGUGUUUUUUGUAUUAAGUAUCACUUCUAAGUUAAGUUGGCUUCGCCGAGCUACAACUUUCGGAUCCGUCCCUGCCUCGAGUUUUGUCAUCUGCCCAUAUUUGGCUUCCUUCUUAUUGCAUUAGUGUGAAUCGUUGUUCUCAAGGUUAUGGAAUGCUUAAAAUAUUUAAUGAAAAGAAUGUCCUUUCGAUUAAAAUCAAUUUGGCUUUAGAUGGCGGAAAAAGAGUCCUCUUCCUCCAAAGGAAAGACUUUGAGGUUCAAAACUCCCGCGCACACCAUGUGGCUUUUGUCUUGUCAAAUGACUAUGUUGGAGUUCAUAAACAUUAUUCAUAGAAAUAAAAUUUUUAUUUUCUUUUCAUGAAUCUAAAUACGAAAAUUAUCAUGCUUUUUAACCCCGGAUACUCUAUCUGAGGUUUUAUCCACCCUGAUAAGAAGACAAUAAGGGUGGUACAAAACAUAAGAGAAGAUAAGUUACUUCUCAUUCUCAUCCUCAUCCGGGCUAUCAAAACGCGGUGUAAACACUAAAAUUUCAUUGAAUUUAACAACAUAUCAACAUAAUGCAUGUCUAUUGAUGUGCCUUAUAUCUGUUGUGAUUUUUGGGCCUGCCUCAAAUGACCGGGAUUUACUCUUAUAAAAAAGUAAAUAUAUUGUUUACACAAGUGCAUCUCAACAAUAAAUAGGGUCCAGUAUUGGUGUCAUCAAACGUCAUCAAUAACACGAAAUUCUCAUUAGGGAAAGGUAUACAAUGCAUCCGUUUAUAAUUUUUUAUCGCCCUAUAAAAUAAACAUCAUUUUGAAGUGAACCCCUUUUCUCUUUUCAUUUUCUGCUAGAGUAAUUUUCUCGUUUUGGCAAUGCACAACUUUAGUUUGCCCUCC